rnacentral:rRNA from 1 species
CCUAUAAUGCAAGCUCGAGCGAAUGGAUUGAGAGCUUGCUCUCAAGAAGUUAGCGGCGGACGGGUGAGUAACACGUGGGUAACCUGCCCAUAAGACUGGGAUAACUCCGGGAAACCGGGGCUAAUACCGGAUAACAUUUUGAACUGCAUGGUUCGAAAUUGAAAGGCGGCUUCGGCUGUCACUUAUGGAUGGACCCGCGUCGCAUUAGCUAGUUGGUGAGGUAACGGCUCACCAAGGCAACGAUGCGUAGCCGACCUGAGAGGGUGAUCGGCCACACUGGGACUGAGACACGGCCCAGACUCCUACGGGAGGCAGCAGUAGGGAAUCUUCCGCAAUGGACGAAAGUCUGACGGAGCAACGCCGCGUGAGUGAUGAAGGCUUUCGGGUCGUAAAACUCUGUUGUUAGGGAAGAACAAGUGCUAGUUGAAUAAGCUGGCACCUUGACGGUACCUAACCAGAAAGCCACGGCUAACUACGUGCCAGCAGCCGCGGUAAUACGUAGGUGGCAAGCGUUAUCCGGAAUUAUUGGGCGUAAAGCGCGCGCAGGUGGUUUCUUAAGUCUGAUGUGAAAGCCCACGGCUCAACCGUGGAGGGUCAUUGGAAACUGGGAGACUUGAGUGCAGAAGAGGAAAGUGGAAUUCCCAUGUGUAGCGGUGAAAUGCGUAGAGAUAUGGAGGAACACCCAGUGGCGAAGGCGACUUUCUGGUCUGUAA